GAUGAGCGCUAGCGACAGGCUUAACACAUGCAAGUCGAGGGGCAGCGGGGAUGAGAGCUUGCUCUUAUCUGCCGGCGACCGGCGCACGGGUGAGUAACACGUAUGCAACCUGCCCAUCGCAGGGGGAUAAGCAGAAGAAAUUCUGUCUAAUACCGCGUAACAUCUCGCGAAGGCAUCUUAGUGAGAUCAAAGGAAGCAAUUCCGGCGAUGGAUGGGCAUGCGGCGCAUUAGCUAGUUGGCGGGGUAACGGCCCACCAAGGCGACGAUGCGUAGGGGUUCUGAGAGGAAGGUCCCCCACACUGGUACUGAGACACGGACCAGACUCCUACGGGAGGCAGCAGUGAGGAAUAUUGGUCAAUGGGCGAGAGCCUGAACCAGCCAAGUCGCGUGAGGGAAGACGGUCCUAUGGAUUGUAAACCUCUUUUGUCGGGGAGCAACGAAGGCACGCGUGCCUGAAGCGAGAUUACCCGAAGAAAAGCAUC
rnacentral:rRNA from 1 species